UACAGAGGUCUCAAGCGUUGUUCGGAUUCAUUGGGCGUAAAGGGUGCGUAGGUGGCGAGGUAAGUCGGAUGUGAAAUCCCGGGGCUCAACCCUGGAACUGCAUUCGAUACUGCCGUGCUUGAGGACUGGAGAGGAGACUGGAAUUUACGGUGUAGCGGUGAAAUGCGUAGAUAUCGUAAGGAAGACCAGUGGCGAAGGCGGGUCUCUGGACAGUUCCUGACGCUGAGGAGCGAAAGCGUGGGGAGCGAACAGG
rnacentral:rRNA from 1 species